rnacentral:pre_miRNA from 1 species
AUUUUACUCCCUUCGUUCCAAAAUACUUGACUUUCAUUUGUCCAAAAAUGGAUGUACCUAUAUACUAAAACAUGUCUAGAUACAUCUAUAUUUUGACAAAUAGAAGGCAUGUAUUAUGGAACGGAGGGAGUAGGAG